rnacentral:lncRNA from 1 species
AUAAAGUGUUAAUAGUACACUUCUUUAUAAGUAAAUGUAUGUAUAUGAUAGAAAAGGUUGAAAACAUGAAUUUUUUGAGACAUUCUUAAUAUAAUUAUUAAGAGUUUAUUAUCUGAAGUGGAAUAGUUAUUCAAUCUGGAACCACACGUAAAUUGUACAGUUUUCAGAAGUUACACUCCAACAAUAUUUUGAAAAGUCUGGAAAAAGAAUUGUUUGAAAGGUAAUAUGUUAUUCUACUUGGUACAUAUAUUUAGAAUUACAGGAGUAAUUUAUAUUUCUUGUUGCCAUGCUUAUUUACAGUACUUAUACCAGUCCAUUUUUUCUUCAGUUUGAGCUACAAGUUGGAGGAAAAUGGUGUCAAGUGUCAAGGCAAGCCAAAGCAGCAGUACUGGAUUUCCCCUAGAAAAGUAUGAAGAAUGUCUGUGAAAAAAGUGACUGUGUUCAUUUGUAGUAUUUAAAGUGAAAAAAGAACAUAAAAAUUUUAAUCAUUGGAAUUGAUACUUUUUGUGGGGGUGGAAAUCUGUGUCCUUUGUAGUCCAGUUCCUUCCCAUCAGUUAGGACUGAUGGGAAGGAACUGAACUACCCAUUACAUCUUGACCCAGCCCAUCCCAUCCCAUUCCUGAUUUGUAAUCCAGAUAUUACUGUACAAAUGAUAUAUAUUAUAUUUUAAUUAAAAUGUUAAUAUAGAGCAUGGCCACAAAAUAAGCAGAGAGAUGUGUAUAGAUGAAUUUAAUAUGAAAUAUGUUAGUAUGAAAAUGUGUCUUAUGCAUGCAAAUGUCACAUACAAUAGUAACACUUUAUAAGAAUUGAUAAAAGUACACUUCUUUGUAAGUAAAUAUAUGUAUAUGAUAGAAAGGUCGAAAGCAUGUUUUUUUUUGGAGAUGUUUAUAAUAUUGUUACGGAUUCAGUCUAUUAUCUUAUAUGGAAUAAUUAUUGAAUUGUAAAUUCUAUCUUGACCCUGCCCAUCUCAUUACUGAUUGGGUGUCCUGAUAUGUUUAUACAAAUAAUAUAUUAUAUAACAUACCUGAAUGAAAAUAUUAAUGUAGAACAUAGUUGCAUUAAAAGCAGAGAAAAGAUGUGAAUAGAUAAAAUUUGAUAUGAAAUAUUUUUGUGUGAAUAUAUGUCAUAUUCAUGUAGUUGACACUUCCUAUAGUCACACUUUAUAAGAAGUGGUAAAAGUAUACUUCUGUAUAAUGUAUAUAUUGUGAUGUUUAGAGAGAAGAAAGAACAUAAAAUGUUAAUAAUUGAAAUUGAUAUUUUGUAGGGGAUGGGAACAUUGUCCUGUCUAUUCGUUCCUUCCCGUUCAUGCCUAUCCUAAGCCAACCUGACCUGGUCCGUCCCAUUUCUGAUGGGUAAUUCGUGUAUGAUAGUACAAAUAAUAUAUAAUAUAGCAUAUUAGAAUUGAAAUAUUUAUGUUGAGCGUGCCCCAAAUAAAGGAAGAGAAAAUAUGUGUAUAAAUAGAAUAAUUAUGAAUAUGUUUUAUUUGUGCAGUUGACACUUACUAUGGUAACACUUUAUAAGAAGUGGUAAAAGUGCACUUCUUUAUAAGUAGAUAUAUAUUUGAUAGAAAAUGUUAAAAACAUUUGUUUUUUGAGCUGUUCAUAACAUUAUUAUGGAAACAGUCUAUUACCUAAAGACAAAUGAUUAUUAAAUCUGGAACCACACUUGUAUGGGCAAAUGAAGGUCCAUGUACAGUUGUUGAAAGUUACAUUCUUGCUGUAUUUUGAGAAGUAUGGAAAAAGAAUUGUUUGAUAGGUAAAAUACUUUUUUGUUUUUCAGUCAUAUUUGCUGACCAAUGUUGAAGCUGUGGAUUUUCCCUGGGAAAGAAUGAAGAAUGUUUUCAAGAAGAGACUGUAUUCAUUUGUAGUGGUUUUUUUUGUGGAGUUGGGAAUCUCUGUCCUGUCCAUUCCUGUUCCUCCCCAUUCUGUCUUGUCCCAUCCUGACCUGGCCCAUCCAUUCCUGAUUGAUAAUCUAGAAGUGUUUGUAAAUAGAACAUGUUGCAUAUUUGCAUGGAUUUGUGUACUGAAGUUGUGUUUUAGAAUAUGGCCACAAAAUAUGCUGAAAAAAAGACAGUGUAUAAAAAAUAUUAAUACCAAGUGUUUUAUUUAUGCUAUGGAUACUUAGUUUAGUUUAUUAUUGUAUAAAACUAAAGUGUGUUUCAGGAAAGUAUAAUAAUUAUUUAUAAGUCUAUACGAGUUUUGUUAAACAUAUGGAUACAGUUAUACAGUAUUAUACAGGAUAUAAGAUACAACAAAUAUUAAACCUGGAAUGACAUUUGUAGCAAUAUGUAAGGGAAAACUAUUGGGUAAUAUAAACAUUGAAUGUAACAACAUGACAAGUCUCUUACAUUAUACUGUUUCUAGAGACAGAAGACAAAAGAUGUUGAAUGUGACAGCUGGAAAUGUAAGUAACAGGCUACAAGACUGAUUUCCAAACCAAAUGAUAGGCACUGGUAUGUAUUGUUGUUUAUAAUUAUACUUGUAGUGUUGUUUAUAAAAGGUUUCAUUGAUAUGUUCACCUGUUCAACACAGGUAAAUGUCAACUUCUCCACUCAUAUUAGAGAUGGAGGGUGAUUGAUUUAGACUUUAGUUUAGGAUGAUUUAACUAAUAUAUUCCAUGUAAUUUUUACCAUGAUUUUAGAUGCCUAAGUUCCAAAACAUUAACACUCUUAUUAGCAGAAACGCCCAUGGAUGAAGAAUCAGAAGGCUUAAUCAACAGAUGGUGAAAAUUGUCACAUGCUGUAAGAAAAAUGUCAGCUGGAAAGAUAUAAUCCCUCACACCACAGUACCAACUCUGACAGAUGGUAUCUCAACAUAUAGUAGAUUCACGGUGAUACAUCAUAGAGCAGAUAUAGCUGGUCAAAUCAUACAAGAAUGUUGUGACAUGGAUAGUUGGUUUCCUGCGAAGAAGAAUGUAUAAUGUAACACCUGCAGUCAAAGAGUUCGGAUAAAGGGAUCAGCUCAAAGAACAUUGGAGAGAUCUGAUGACAAUAUUGAUAUAGGUUAUGAAGGUGAUCUACAACAUGAUUCUACAACUGCCAAUGAACUUCGGUAGAAGAGCUGGAGGGGAGUGGAGGGAGCAGAUUGCAGUACAGUCAAACCUGUCUAUAAAGACCACCCUUGGGAGAGUCAAAAUGUGGUCUUUAUUGGGAGGUGGUCAUUAUUCACAGGUUAAAAUACACUGUUAAUGUUAAAAUGGGAAACAAAACACGUGUUCUUUAGAGCCAGGUGGUCUCUGUUCAGAGGUGAUCUUUAAGACAGGUUUGACUGUAUACACAUCAGUGGAAGUGGAACAGGCAGAUUUCAAUACAUACUACAUCAGUGGGAAAAGCGCAAUGAAGUUCAGCUGUUUCCAGUUUGAAACACAUGCCAAUGUGGACAGCCUAGGAGGUCCUCAUCAAGUUGCAGUAGAUUCAUUAAAAAAAAAUGGAGUAAGCUGUACUUAAUGUCUUCUGCUACCUGUAAAAAAUGGGGAAUCUUCAGAAGCACAUAAUGGUAUGGUCGACAUUAUGGAAGUUCAUGGAGUAUGCCCGUAUCCAGACAGAUCUUCAUCUCUUAGCCCACAAGAAGCAAUACCAGGAAAUAUGUGGCAUUCAUCAGCCAGGUUGAUAUUUAUCCUAAGUGGCAAAGUUAGAUACAGCCUGACAGCAAAAUACCCAUUCUUGGAAAAGGAGUGAAUUGUUUUGUGCUGCGGACACUGCAGAAUUGUGGAUUUGACAGUUUAACUUCUCACACACAGUAGGAAAGUUGUCAAGAGUGUAAUUAGCCAUUGGACAUGUGGUACAUACAUUUAGUGGUGGAGAAAUGGACCUGGUCAGACAAUUGGACAAUAAAUGUGUAUGAAACGGUCACCAUGGUGCUUUUCUAAUGGAAAGGGUUAACUUAAAGCAGGACUUGCACUGUCAUGCGAGGGGAAAAACACGAAAUGGAGACGAUCACUUACCAGUGCACACAGUUGACUAUAGAAGUCAGGUGAUUUUUUAAACAUUACUUUCUUACAUCAUUGUGCAAAUGUUGAGUAUAAAUCAAGCCUAGAAAUUUAGAUGGGAAUAUUCUACAUAUGAAUUUGACUGAAAGAAAUAUGUCUCAAGUCAUUUCUUACCCAUAUAGCAUCAUAUGAGAAAAUUGUUGUCUGUUGACAGAGGAUAGGUCAGUAACAGGAGAAAUACUGGACAGCUGAAUAUACAAUAUACACUAGUUUAACCCUUACCCUGCUAAUUUUCUAUAAUAAACUGUUAAAAAGGGGUGCUAACCAAAAAGUUUCUGACUGAAUGGCAAACAGUUCAGAUCUUGAUCAGACU